GGUUCCCCCGGCGGACUAAUCCCCUUUAUUACUCCCGAGCACAGGGCCGGGGCUCUCUCCAGCAGGGAUCAGUCCCAAAGCUUCUGUCCCCGGAAGAGGCCCCGGGAGCCGUGCAGACACACAGCUCCUCACCCGAGCAGCAGGGGGGUGGGCUGCACAAAUGAGGUCAGGGCCCCCCUCUCUGCCAGGGCCUCCUGCUCCAGCCAAACAGUGAAUGAAGCCUCUCCGCUCCAUCAGAAAGGAUUUAUUGAACCCCCUGGAGGGGCAGCACCAGUCCGAGGAUUCAGAGGGAAGAUCAAUCACAGGAGGCAUACCCCCACCCCACCAAACCCUACCCCUGAGCCCAACCCCCAUCAUUUUACAGAGGAAAAGGAGCCGCAAAGAUGAAUGCCCAGCCCUAUGCAAGAGGAAGAGCAGAGUUGCUCAAGCCAGAGACCUUCUAUUUCUCAACCAGUCCGCCUCAGCGACUUCUUUAGCAGGGAGUCAAUCAGGCCAGA
rnacentral:lncRNA from 1 species